GAUGAACGCUAGCGGCAGGCCUAAUACAUGCCAGUCGAACGAGAUUAAGAGGCUUGCUUCUUAUGAAAGUGGCGCACGGGUGCGUAACGCGUAUGCAACCUACCUUAAUCAGGGGGAUAGCCCGAAGAAAUUCGGAUUAAGACCGCAUAAAAACACAGGAUAGCAUUAUCCAAUGUUCAAAUAUUUAUAGGAUUAAGAUGGGCAUGCGUGUCAUUAGCUAGUUGGCGGGGUAACGGCCCACCAAGGCGACGAUGACUAGGGGAUCUGAGAGGAUGACCCCCCACACUGGUACUGAGACACGGACCAGACUCCUACGGGAGGCAGCAGUAAGGAAUAUUGGUCAAUGGAGGGAACUCUGAACCAGCCAUGCCGCGUGCAGGAAGACAGCCCUCUGGGUCGUAAACUGCUUUUAGUCGGGAAUAAACCUUUCUACGUGUAGGAAGCUGAAUGUACCGAAGGAAUAAGGAUCGGCUAACUCCGUG
rnacentral:rRNA from 1 species